UUUGGGUGUGGCAUGAGAGAGAAAGAGAGCCAAGGACAACUCAAGGUUUCUGACCUACACAACUGGAAGAAUGGGGUUACCACCAGCUGAAAUGGUGAAGACCAUAGAGAAGUGCAUCUAGGAGGGAAUGUCAGUUUUAAGGACAUGUUAAUUUUAAGAUGCCAAUAAUCAACCAAAUGGAUAUGAUAAUCGCAUCCUAAAUUUCAAAGCAUUCUUGAGAACCUGGAGGCCUGUUGUGGUGGUCACGGCCACAGCACGGCUGAAGAGUGAUGUAUGUCUGCACCGGGGAUCCAAACCCAUGAACCCCGGCCACUGAAGCAGAGCAUGCUGAACUUAACAACUAGGCAAUGCAACAGGCUCCCCAAUGUUUUUUGAUCAUGGACUCUGUAUCACUUUAUGCCACUUACUGGUUCAUCUGUUAGUUUCCUUCCUUAAAAUCAGGGACUGUGUUUAUUUAACUAAUCAACUAACAUAGUUGCUUAAUAAAUGUUUUUGUUUUUAA
rnacentral:lncRNA from 1 species